AAACCUACCUGGAUCUGGGGGAUAGCCCGCCGAAAGGCGGAUUAAUACCGCAUAAGACGAUAGUGUGGCAUCACAUAGUCGUUAAAGAUUUAUUGGAUUCAGAUGGGGUUGCGUAGCAUUAGCUAGAUGGCGGGGUAAUGGCCCACCAUGGCGACGAUCAGUAGCCGGUCUGAGAGGAUGAUCGGCCACAUUGGGACUGAGACACGGCCCAG
rnacentral:rRNA from 1 species